UGGAGUUUGGUAAAGUAGAGCCAGCUGCCAGAGGUGACCAUGUAGAAGUCACAGAAGCAGUUGUAUGGCUUCGUUUCAGCCUGAGGAGGGAGAAAGAGGGACUGGUACUCCACAGACCUCUUCCCUCUUGAUCACCAGCCUUUCGGAUUAAUGCACAGUUUCAUGAGCUCUUGCCUCUGAGGUUGCCUAGGAGCCUUGGGUGAGACAUUAAGACAAGCGCACUAACUCCUGUUUCAUCUCCCCUGUCCUAAGUCGCCCAGCCCCACCGCGUCACACAGGCUGGGAAAAACGAUCCCUUACUCGAUUGUCUGCUGGUUUUCUUUGACUACUGCUCGACUCUUCACGUUCGCUGGCAGCCAUGAAUGAAACGUAACGUGCUCAAUGACUGACAUCCAUUAGAGCCCUUCGACAAACCCCGGGCUGCGUUUUGAAAGGCCCCUGGAAGAGAAAGGACUGUGUGCUCUUUGAAUGUGGGCCCGCUGAACCGCUGCCAAGGGCGGACCGCUCCAUUCAAAGGGCUGAGAGAAUAAAUGAGAAUAACAUCCUUGGGGACCCACAGGAUCAGCUUACUCUGAAAACGCUCAGCUUCACAAAGGGUCAGAGUCACAAGGCUCCAGGAGCUUGUGCAAUGUGACACUAACUGCAGUCCUUUUUAUGGACAGAACUUUGGAACUGAAAGUUACUAACAGCAAAACAGCUAAGCUUUGAUUCUCGGGAGGCCAAUGGAAGGAUACACACAGGCUAGAACCGAGUGACCUGGCAGUGGGCAAGAGGCGAUGUGACACCAGCACUCCUCAGGUCUCUUCUAGCUCCUGCAUUGAAGCAUCUCGGCCCUACUGGAAAUCACUGUGAAAAAGAAAUCAGACUGAACCAGGAUCCCCCACCACAUCCUCCAGCUUCUAUUUAUAUCUAAAUUGUGACCGAUGCCAAUGUCACUGGAUAACAAAUGUGUUGAUUAUCUUUGGCUCAAAUGCUUG